AAGAGUUAGUAUAAUUAAAACACUUGAUUUCGACUCAAAAAAUCUUGGUUUAACCCCAAGACUCUUA
rnacentral:tRNA from 1 species